AAAGGAAUCGUGUCCCUGACUUGAAGCAACAUGAAAAAAAGAUUCUUGCACCGUUAACCAAAGUUUAAGUUAACUUGUAUUUGAAGCUGGUGGAACCGUGGGAUGCCGGUAACAUCCUCUUGACAUAAGGAUGACACGGAUCCUCACACCACAGCCAAGCUCUCAGCUUCAGUGAACAGAAGAGAGCGCCCGCCCGAGUUUCGGACUGUUGCUGCAGAAGGAGCCACUGCUGCAGGAAGCUUUUCAAAUCCCAGUUGUAUUCUUAGUUUCUCUCUCAAGGUAAUGACAAACAAUAUGCUCACGGCUGCUCCCCAAUCUAGAUGGUCACAGUCACUGAAUGUGAGUCUUUGUAUGUUUUGGUGUCACUCGGACAGAUUAUUAAAAAGGCAGACACAAAUGAUGUCUGAGCCUGGGGCCCACAGUCAAUCCUCCCCCGUGUACCUUCUUGUGCCAGGCUCUUUCCUGCGUAUAGUUCAUUGAGCUAUAGCUCAGAGGAGGUGCCCGGGCAUAGUACGGACCUUGUAAAUCAAGUGAGUGCACUUUAGAAAACUGCACAAUCUGUUUGGAAACAAUUCCCGUAAGCUCUGGCCUUGGGGAGGGAUCCAUUAGUGAAGGCCAAAUGGUGUUCUGCUUAUGUCAUGUCUGUUAGCUACCCUUGACCGUAUCUAAGUCUUAACUACAUCUAAGUGUGGUUGGUUUGCCUCUCCCCCACCCCCACCUUCCAUUCCCUCAGUACCCCACCUGCUCACCCUCCUGCUCUCUCCCUUCUCUACUCAACCAAAAA
rnacentral:lncRNA from 1 species